GCCUCGGUAGCUCAAUUGGAUAGAGCAGCCGCCUUCUAAGCGGCAGGUCACAGGUUCGAAUCCUGUCCGAGGUA
rnacentral:tRNA from 1 species